ACGUAGGGGGCGAGCGUUGUCCGAAGUUACUGGGCGUAAAGAGCGCGUAGGCGGGUCUUUAAGUGAGGGGUGAAAGGUUCAGGGCUCAACCCGGACACUGCCUUUCAUACUGGGGACCUUGAGUGUGGGAGAGGCGAGUGGAAUGGUCGGUGUAGCGGUGAAAUGCGUAGAUAUCGAUCGGAACACCCAUGGCGAAGGCAGCUCGCUGGCCUAUAACUGACGCUGAGGCGCGAAAGCGUGGGGAGCAAACAGGAUUAGAUACCCUGGUAGUCCACGCCGUAAACGAUGAGUGCUAGGUGUCAGGGGUAUCGACCCCCCUGGUGCCGCAGCUAACGCAAUAAGCACUCCGCCUGGGGAGUACGGCCGCAAGGUUG
rnacentral:rRNA from 1 species